GCGUCUUUGGAGUGUGAUUGGUCCAUAGAGAUCGGUUUCGUCUAGAAGGGUUACAGCUUUUGUCAAAAUGGACUUUUCAUAGCAGGUUUAAGAAAACUGGCAUAGCAGGUGUGCUGGAGUCAGAGCAGAUCCCUACCAGCUGCAAAUCGUCCCAUAAAUCAAGACCUCUACAUAUACUCAUCCCUGCCACCUCCAUUCUGCCAGAUCUUACCUCUCUGUCUCCUGUUCCACAUCUCACCACCAACCACCUUGCUCUGGAUAUCACUCACCACCAUUACCUUGGAUUCCCCUCUGGACCGGUUCCCCUGUUCUACUCAGCCAACUCCAACCUCACUCUACACUCCUGGUUUUUGCAACUCACCUGAGCUACCCCAGUUCUGCACUUCCCAUUUCUCUGUGCUCAAUAAACCUUUUUGUGCAUUCAUCCCGGCUUCCUCUUCUGAGUCCGCUCUUGGGCCCCCCCAACCCCCUUCAUUACGCACACCUGUCACCAUCAUUACGCACAUCAACGCUCAUUGGACUCACCUGGAUUCCUUCACAUUUUGAUUGUCUUCCCUAUAUCUGUCUGUUUCCUCUUCAUCCCUGUGUCAACAUUAUUGCGGUUUCCGUUUCCCCUGUCCAGACGCCUGUCCGUUUUCUGUCUCUGUCCUGUCCGUGGUUAUUUAAUGUUCACUCCCUGUACCUGCUCCAGCAUCGAUCCUUACACAGAGCCAGUUUUAGAAAUGUUUCCAAAUGAAUCAAAAAUGAAAAGCUGAAAUGUCUUGUUAAUUAGUAUUCAACAUGUUAAGAUAAGUUGAGGAGUAAAAAUUGUACUAGUCACAAUAAGUUGCAUGGACUCACUCCGUGUGCAAUCCCCCAUUUCUGUAAGGUCCCUCAGUCAAGCAGUGAUUUAACCAACAAAGACCAGAGGUUUCCGAUCGUUCGCAAAGAAGGGAACCUAUUGGGCAUCAACGGACAUUGAAUAUCCCUUUUGAGCAUGGUGCAGUUAUUAAUUUAACACUUUAGAUGGUGUAUCAAUACACCCAGUCAAUUGUGAUUUUAAAAGAGU